GGUUUCGCCUGCCCAGUGACUCUUUAAACGGCCGCGGUAUCCUAACCGUGCAAAGGUAGCAUAAUCACUUGUCCCUUAAAUAGGGACUGGAAUGAACGGCUAAAUGAGGACUUAACUGUCUCUUGCAGUAAGCCAAUGAAAUUGAUUUUCCAGUACAAAAGCUGGAAUAUACCCAUAAGACGAGAAGACCCUGUGGAGCUUAAAACCUAAACCAAUAAACAUGGCCUCAGGUUUUUAGUUGGGGCGACUUUGGAGCAUAAAAAAACCUCCAAAAACCUAUAUAUCUAGACCCACACAUCAAAAUAUUACAUUAGACCCAGCAACUAACCCUAACCUAUUGUCUGACUAAUGAACCAAGUUACCCCAGGGAUAACAGCGCCAUCCCCUUUUAGAGUCCCUAUCGACAAGGGGGUUUACGACCUCGAUGUUGGAUCAGGACACCCCAAUGGUGCAGCCGCCAUUAAAGGUUUGUUUGUUCAACAAUUAAAGUCCUA
rnacentral:rRNA from 1 species